GACAGAGGUGCCGAGCGUUAGGCGGAAUCACUGGGCUUAAAGCGUGUGUAGGCGGGUGCCUAAGUAACUUGUGGAAUCCCACGGCUCAACCGUGGAACUGCUUGGUAUACUGGGUAUCUUGAGCCACUUAGGGGCAACCGGAACAAACGGUGGAGCGGUGAAAUGCGUAGAUAUCGUGUGGAACGCCAAUGGUGAAAACAGGUUGCUGGGAGUGUGCUGACGCUGAGACACGAAAGCCAGGGGAGCAAACGGG
rnacentral:rRNA from 1 species